AUUUAGAUCUGAAUACAUAGGGUCUAAAAGCAAUACGUUGUGAAGUGAAACAUCUCAGUAGCAACAGGAAAAGAAAUCGAAAGAGAUUCCGUGUGUAGUGGCGAGCGAAAGCGGAACAGGCCAAACCAAGAUUUAUCUUGGGGUUAUAGGACUGCAAUGUGGACUUUGAACUGAUAGGAGAAGUAGUUGAAAAGCUACGCGAUAAAGGGUUAUAGCCCCGUAUCUUAAAUUGGUUUAAUACCUAGCAGGAUCCUGAGUACAUCGAGAAACGUUAUCUUGAU
rnacentral:rRNA from 1 species